GAAAUGCGAUAACUAGUGUGAAUUGCAGAAUUCCGUGAAUCAUCGAGUCUUUGAACGCACAUUGCGCCCCCUGGUAUUCCGGGGGGCAUGCCUGUCCGAGCGUCAUUGCUGCCCAUCAAGCACGGCUUGUGUGUUGGGUCGUCGUCCCCUCCCCGGGGGGGACGGGCCCCAAAGGCAGCGGCGGCACCGCGUCCGAUCCUCGAGCGUAUGGGGCUUUGUCACCCGCUCUGUAGGCCCGGCCGGCGCUUGCCGAACGCAAAUCAAUCUUUUUCCAGGUUGACCUCGGAUCAGGUAGGGAUACCCGCUGAACUUAAGC
rnacentral:misc_RNA from 1 species